rnacentral:lncRNA from 1 species
UAGACGAUAAGGCAAUGCAAUGAGUCCACUUGGGGUUGAAGUUCCGAUACACAAAGAUGUUCUCUGUUUCGGGUUUAAGUAUGUCUCAGGCAAUAUCUGCACGUACCACUGAUCCUAAAAAAAAAAAAAAAAAAAACCUCCUCGUGUUUAUUUGAAAUGCAAAUAGAACUGGGCGUCUGGACACCCUUUUGCCAGGGGAUCCGGCGAAAAUGCAGAGGGCUCUGCAGCCGGCCUGGCUGGCGACGGCCUAGGCGCUGCGCUCCUGUCGGGCUUGCAGAGCGUCCAGCGACCAAACUUGGAGCAGCUUUCGGGGAAAGUGCUUCUUGCCACCUCGUUCUGAGGGAUUCUCAGCGAUUUUGCCACUGGAGGGAGCGUCCUGUCCUUCACUCCUCCCAGCAUGUAUCAUUUUACUGUCACGAGCAUGCAGACCUCAGGACACACAUAAAUGAUUCCAUGAGAAAGAAAAACUGGGAGAUCUGGAAACCAGCUUUUAGAAAAUGA